UUAGAGUUUGAUCAUGGCUCAGGACGAACGCUGGCGGCGUGCCUAAUACAUGCAAGUCGAACGAGGUUUGGUCAGUUUGCGGUGGUGCUUGCAUCACCAAUUACCGAUCAAACCGAGUGGCGGACGGGUGAGUAACACGUGGGUAACCUGCCCUUCAGCAGGGGAUAACAUUUGGAAACAGAUGCUAAUACCGUAUAACCACGGAGACCGCAUGGUCUCCGGGUAAAAGAUGGCGCAAGCUAUCACUGAAGGAUGGACCCGCGGCGUAUUAGCCAGUUGAUGGGGUAACGGCCUACCAAAGCGAUGAUACGUAGCCGACCUGAGAGGGUAAUCGGCCACAAUGGGACUGAGACACGGCCCAAACUCCUACGGGAGGCAGCAGUAGGGAAUCUUCCACAAUGGACGCAAGUCUGAUGGAGCAACGCCGCGUGAGUGAAGAAGGCUUUCGGGUCGUAAAACUCUGUUAUUGAAGAAGAACGUGUGUGACAGUAACUGGUCAUGCAGUGACGGUAUUCAAUCAGAAAGUCACGGCUAACUACGUGCCAGCAGCCGCGGUAAUACGUAGGUGGCAAGCGUUGUCCGGAUUUAUUGGGCGUAAAGCGAGUGCAGGCGGUCUUUUAAGUCUGAUGUGAAAGCCUUCGGCUUAACCGAAGAAGGGCAUCGGAAACUGGGAGACUUGAGUGCAGAAGAGGAGAGUGGAACUCCAUGUGUAGCGGUGAAAUGCGUAGAUAUAUGGAAGAACACCAGUGGCGAAGGCGGCUCUCUGGUCUGUAACUGACGCUGAGGCUCGAAAGCGUGGGUAGCAAACAGGAUUAGAUACCCUGGUAGUCCACGCCGUAAACGAUGAAUACUAAGUGGUUGGAAGGGUUUCCGCCCCUUCAGUGCUGCAGCUAACGCAUUAAGUAUUCCGCCUGGGGGAGUACGACCGCAAGGUUGAACUCCAAAGGGAAUUGACGGGGGCCCGCGCAAGCGGUGGAACCAUGGUGGUUUAAUUCGAAGCAACACAAAGAACCUUACCAGGUCUUGACAUCUUCUGCCAGGCUGAAAAGAUCAGCUGUUCCC
rnacentral:rRNA from 1 species